GGCGGCCCUGCGUGCAGAGACAGUGAUAGAUCUGGAGAGCUGUUGCUGCUGGUCCGUGGUGACUGGGGAUGGCAUGUCAGGUGGAGAAGAAUUUCCUCUGUGUGCGCAUUUAGACAGCUUCAGAAGGGAGGAAAACACAGAAGACGAGGGCUGAAAGAUGGCAUUGGACUUGGCACAGGGAUGGUCAGGAGGUCCUGAGUCACUUUGAGAAGGUACAAAGGAAGCCAGAUUGAGCCAGCUUGAAGAGUCAGGGAGAGGGAGGGGUGGAGAUGGCUGUGGAAAAUGUUUGACUCUGAAAACUUGGGGUCUAGAAGGGAGGUGUUUGGGUUGCAUCUUUAGUAUGAGCUACUUGGUUAUAUUUAAAGCCUGAAAAUGAGUUAGUAGAGAAACUUUGAAAAUUAAGAGACAGAGAGCACGUGGAUGCUGCUAGACAUUGGUCCCUGAGGAGUCAAGAGGGUGAUUCAGAGGAUGGAGAGGUGCUGUUUCCUGGGAAUGGGGGUGUCCUCUCAUCACCACAGCACCAUUGUCAGCUUACAAAACCCGUCUAGAUGCUGCACCCCAGUAUUUCCAGUCCCCCCAGUAAUGUCUUUUAUAUUAUUUUCCCUCCAGCACAGGAUGUGGUCUGGGAUCAGGUGUUGCAUCUGCUUGUUGUGUGUCUGUCAUCUCUGUCAAUCAGGAACAUUUUCCACAGCC
rnacentral:lncRNA from 10 species